rnacentral:rRNA from 1 species
GAUGAACGCUGGCGGCGUGCCUAAUGCAUGCAAGUCGAGCGAACAGACGAGGAGCUUGCUCCUCUGACGUUAGCGGCGGACGGGUGAGUAACACGUGGAUAACCUACCUAUAAGACUGGGAUAACUUCGGGAAUCCGGAGCUAAUACCGGAUAAUAUAUUGAACCGCAUGGUUCAAUAGUGAAAGACGGUUUUGCUGUCACUUAUAGAUGGAUCCGCGCCGCAUUAGCUAGUUGGUAAGGUAACGGCUUACCAAGGCAACGAUGCGUAGCCGACCUGAGAGGGUGAUCGGCCACACUGGAACUGAGACACGGUCCAGACUCCUACGGGAGGCAGCAGUAGGGAAUCUUCCGCAAUGGGCGAAAGCCUGACGGAGCAACGCCGCGUGAGUGAUGAAGGUCUUCGGAUCGUAAAACUCUGUUAUUAGGGAAGAACAAAUGUGUAAGUAACUAUGCACGUCUUGACGGUACCUAAUCAGAAAGCCACGGCUAACUACGUG